AAUAUACGGCAUCCUGGAGUUGCGAUGUCAAUUUUGAUCUAUUGGAUCAAAGUGUAGAUUGAGCUAGUUGGACAUCAUCCCCGAGUGACUUUGGACGCGUGAGAAUGAAUUCCGAUGAUAAAUAAGUGUUUCGGCGCAAAUUGGGCGCGAAACGAAAUGUAAAUAAAAUUUUCGGAAUUCUGACGCUAACUUUGAUUAAAAGAAUUAAAGCGAGGCUCGGAGAUAAUUUAUGGAGUACCCAAGUUAGUCUGGAAUGACUCGUGCCGAAAUCGGAGCGAAAACAGAAGAACUGGAAUUUUCUGUAAAGAACGGGACUGAGAAAUUAGCAGAAAAUGCACAGUGUCAGAAAAUUAUGAAAAUUGGCGGAGAUGUCAGGAACAUUGGUAUGAGGCCAAAUUUCAAGUUUCACAUUAUUCUGACACCUGUAGAGAGAGAAAUAGCAUCCGAAAGUUAUCUGAUGAAGAUUACAGUUCGGGACAGUUCGCAGUGACCAAACGGGGUCGAAACUGAAAUGUUAAAAUUUCAGUGGACUUGUUAAGNUAAAUUUUAAUUUGAACUUAAAUUAAAAAUUAAAAUUUAAUUAAGUAUUUCGAAUCUAACUUAUGAAUUUGAAUUUAAAUUAAAUUUUAAUUUAUAUAAAGUUUUAUUCAAAUUUAUUUCAAACUUAAAUUAAAUUUAUGAAUUCAAAUUAAAAUUUAAAUUGUAAUUUUAAGUUUGAAUUUGAAUAAAUCAAAAUUUAGUUUCAUAUUUUGAAUUAUCUACUCAACUUCAAAGUUUAAUUUUUUAAAAAAAUAGAUUUAAAAUUUAGACAUUAUUUCAAAAUUUUGAUGUAAAAUUUUAAUAUUUAAUUUAAUUUGAAUUUAAAUUAAUAUAUUAUAAGAUAAUGUUAGUAUAUUAAUUUGAUUACGUUUUUUAUAUCCAUCUGAACCAAACACUGACAAUGUGAAUGAUUUAUUCCGAUUCCGAUUCCGAUUCUGGUGAUGAACCAAACGGAAUUAAGUAAUGGGUCAUUCCGAUUCCGAUUUCAACUUAUUUUGAUUCCGAUUCCGAUUCUGACUCCGACUUCGGCAUAUUUAUUC
rnacentral:lncRNA from 1 species